rnacentral:rRNA from 1 species
AUGGGAUCCAAGGUGGGUGAGGCGUCUGGGUCAAACACUGCAUCGGAGGUGGAGAAGAUGAUGGCUGAGUUAGGGUUGCGUGAGGAGGACCUUGACGAUGUCGUCUUUGAUGAAAAGCAAGCGCCGCCAGAUGCUGUGAGAUGGAUGGCGGUGGCCAGGGUUCACAUCGACAAGCCGUACAGUCAAUACUGGUUCUUCAAGAACAUGCGUGCUGCCUGGGACUUGGCUCAUGAUGUGAAGUUUCGCCCUUUGGAGGACAACCUCUAUACUUUGCAAUUUUUCUGUUUAGUUGACUGGGAACGCGUGAUGCAGGAUGGCCCGUGGAAUUUCAGAGGUAAUGCGGUGGUGAUCGAGCUCUAUGAUGGAAUCACAAAACCCACGGAAGUCGCCCUUGAUACCAUCAACAUAUGGAUUCAAAUCCAUGAUGUUCCAGAUCUAUAUGCACAUCUUGUUAAUCCACUUGCAGCAAGGGUUGGCGAAGUCUUGUUCUCGGAGCCAAUCACGCAAGAUUUUGCUGGCAACUUCUACCGCGUGUGGGUCAAGAUCAAUGUACACAAGCCCCUAAAAAAUGUUGUGUCCAUGAUCCGAGACGGGAAAAGGAAGAUAUACCGCAUAAGAUACGAACGCCUCCCUGACUGGUGCGCAGUUUGCGGACACCUAGGGCAUGUGUACAAGGAGCAUGGCGUUGGCAUACAUCCUCCUUCCGCUCUGUAUUUCAAGGACCUUAGGGCGUCCUGGAGCAUGAAUGUUGGAACAGGCCCAGGAGGGGGCCGUGGCAGGGGCCGGCGUGGAGGCCGCUCUGGUCGCGGCGAGAGGGAAAACAACAAGGCACAAGAGCCGGAUUACAUGAAUGAUCCUGAUUUGGUUAUGCAGGAAGCGGAUGGCAACCGCAAACGACUCCCAGAUGAUCCCAGAAGAGAUGCAACGCCAGCUCAACUACAAUCCCCGCAGAGUCCAAUGGCCACACACACAUUUGUCACCAAAUAUCUCAGAGAACUGGCAGAAUGUAAACCAAAGGAGAUGACCCGCCAGGUGGCUGUUCCCAGAAGCUGGGUUAGAUGGAUCCGGCCUCCUCAGGGUUUUGCAAAGAUAAGAGUUGACGGUGCAGUCAACAGAGCGAUCUAUGAGGGAUCCUACAGUGCUAUUUGCAGAGAUGAGGGCGGGAUGUACAUGGGAUCUUCCGUGAUCAGGAAUGUUGGGAUUACCGAUCCAACAACUCUAGAGACUCUAGCAUGUCAUGAAGCAAUGGCUCUGGCGCUGGACCUGUCUUUAACUCAUGUGGAGAUUGCUUCAGACUGCAAAAACGCUGUUCAGGACAUAAACCUUGGCACUGGAGGAAUGAAUGCGAGCAUUGUGAAGGAGAUUAGGGAGACUACUUCUCUUUUUCAGAGUUGUACCUUCAUCUUUGAAGCGUUGGAGACGGGAGGUAGAGUUAGUAUAGGGAAGGAAGUAGAUGAUGCAAGGAAGAAGAUGGAGACAAGGGAGGGUAGGCGGGUGAUGGAUGGAGUUGGAGAUGGUAGGGCGCCGGAGGAGCCGGGAGCAGAUGUUGGCGCGGUAGUCGGGGAGGAUGAAGAUGAGGAUUGGGCCUAUGGCCCUGAACCAGAUCUGGAAGACAAAUUUGCAGGUAUGCAUCUGCAUGGGGAGGAGGAGGACGAUAUGCACCUGUCGGGUGAGAUGAGGAACGCGUGGGCGUCUGCACAGGGUGUGAUAAUUAACGUGAAGGGCCCGAACUUGUUCCUGGUUCAAUGUCACUGCCUUGGAGAUUGGAAGAGGGUGAUGGAAGGAGGGCCAUGGAUCUUCUGCAACGCUCCAGUGAUCCUUCAAGAGUAUGAUGGCUUUACUGAUAUGGCAGAGUAUAAGCUGAAUAAAUUACCGGUGUGGGCAAGGAUAAAAGGGCUGCCUGAUGGGCUUAUAGCAAAGAAAGAACAUGCAGAACGGGUGGCUGCAAAGGUGGGAGAACCACCAUUCACGGUGCUUGUGAAUGAGGGCAAAAUAAACCCGGCUGGUAUCUUGCGAGUUAGAGUUUUUGUGGAUGUUAACACCUCCUUGGUGAGAUUUGUCCCGAUCACUCUGAAAGAAAGGAAGAAAUACCCAGUGUUUUAUGAUAAGCUACCAGAUUUUUGCUACUUCUGCGGUCUGAUGGGCCAUACAGUUGAAGAGUGUGGUGAUGGCGUGCAUGAUCCACGCACCUGCGAGUGGGGUGAAUGGUUAUUGUGGAACCCGGGCCAGCCGACCUUUGCUGCAGGAGGGAUGGGAGGUAUGGAGGGAAGUGCUAGGGGUGGAAGAUCAGGUGGCAGAGGAGCUCGGGGAGGAAGACACACUGGAGGGGGAUCGAUGGGAGGAAGGAGAAGGCCAGAGGAUCAUACUGAAAGGGAAGAGAUGGAGUGUGCUGCUUAUGAACAGAACCCAACGGACAAUACCAAUGCUCGCAAGAGGCUGGUCUCUUCGGAUGGGACUGUGAAUAUCCGUGGGCAAUCUAUACCAAACCUUGCUGGGAGGGUUGCGGGAACAAUUUUGCAGCUAGAAAAUGGACCUGAUGGAGUAACUCGCGAUGCCACUGCAGCUUCGGCAUCGACCCCAGAGAAGGCACCGAUAGUGAAGAGGAGGAAGCAGGGGGAUGAGCAGGGAGUAGAUGAGAUGGAGCUGAGCACUAAGGCGGCCUCCGAGUAUCUGGAGGAUUUGGAGAUUGCUUCGGCAAGGACCAUACAGCCAACUAGGGGGCCAGCACAACCUCGUGUCCAGAGGUGGAUCGCUCCAGGUGAAAACUCGGCAAAGAUAAAUGUUGAUGGAGGAUUGUCACGCAAUGGACGCAUGGGCGCUGCUGCAGCAGUUUGUCGAGAUAAGGAUGGCAAGUAUCUGGAAGCCUCGGCGACGAUCUUUGAAGGACUAGUUGAUGCACCAAACCUGGAAGCUUGUGCAUGCAAUGAAGCCCUCUCCCUCGCAAAGGAUCUCAACAUAACACAUGUGAUAAUAGCUUCAAAUUGUAUGCAGGUUGUCUCGGAUAUCAACCAGGCUCCGUGCGCCACCGUGCCGCGUCUUCGUGCCUCGCGCCACUGCGCCUCCACGGUCGUCGUGCCGAGCCACCGCGGCCUCUGCGCCACCAUGCAGGUCCUCCGCGACCUCCUCGCCUCCGCGACCACCGUGCUCGUCGCGCGCACGAUAUCACAAUGA